GGCGAACGGGUGAGUAAUGAAUCGGAACGUGCCCGGUAGUGGGGGAUAACCAGUCGAAAGACUGGCUAAUACCGCAUACGACCUACGGGUGAAAGCGGGGGACUUGCAGCAAUGCGGGCCUCGCGCUAUCGGAGCGGCCGAUUUCCGAUUAGCUAGUUGGUGGGGUAAAGGCUCACCAAGGCGAUGAUCGGUAGCUGGUCUGAGAGGACGGCCAGCCACACUGGGACUGAGACACGGCCCAGACUCCUACGGGAGGCAGCAGUGGGGAAUUUUGGACAAUGGGCGAAAGCCUGAUCCAGCCAUGCCGCGUGCGGGAAGAAGGCCUUCGGGUUGUAAACCGCUUUUGGCAGGAACGAAACGGCGCGAGCUAAUACCUCGCGCUAAUGACGGUACCUGCAGAAUAAGCACCGGCUAACUACGUGCCAGCCGCCGCGG
rnacentral:rRNA from 1 species